GAUGAACGCUAGCUACAGGCUUAACACAUGCAAGUCGAGGGGCAGCAUUUCAGUUUGCUUGCAAACUGGAGAUGGCGACCGGCGCACGGGUGAGUAACACGUAUCCAACCUGCCGAUAACUCGGGGAUAGCCUUUCGAAAGAAAGAUUAAUACCCGAUGGUAUAAUCAGACCGCAUGGUCUUGUUAUUAAAGAAUUUCGGUUAUCGAUGGGGAUGCGUUCCAUUAGGCAGUUGGUGAGGUAACGGCUCACCAAACCUUCGAUGGAUAGGGGUUCUGAGAGGAAGGUCCCCCACAUUGGAACUGAGACACGGUCCAAACUCCUACGGGAGGCAGCAGUGAGGAAUAUUGGUCAAUGGGCGCAGGCCUGAACCAGCCAAGUAGCGUGAAGGAUGACUGCCCUAUGGGUUGUAAACUUCUUUUAUAUGGGAAUAAAGUUUUCCACGUGUGGAAUUUUGUAUGUACCAUAUGAAUAAGGAUCGGCUAACUCCGUGCCAGCAGCCGCGGUAAUACGGAGGAUCCGAGCGUUAUCCGGAUUUAUUGGGUUUAAAGGGAGCGUAGGUGGACAGUUAAGUCAGUUGUGAAAGUUUGCGGCUCAACCGUAAAAUUGCAGUUGAUACUGGCUGUCUUGAGUACAGUAGAGGUGGGCGGAAUUCGUGGUGUAGCGGUGAAAUGCUUAGAAAUCACGAAGAACUCCGAUUGCGAAGGCAGCUCACUGGACUGCAACUGACACUGAUGCUCGAAAGUGUGGGUAUCAAACAGGAUUAGAUACCCUGGUAGUCCACACAGUAAACGAUGAAUACUCGCUGUUUGCGAUAUACAGCAAGCGGCCAAGCGAAAGCAUUAAGUAUUCCACCUGGGGAGUACGCCGGCAACGGUGAAACUCAAAGGAAUUGACGGGGGCCCGCACAAGCGGAGGAACAUGUGGUUUAAUUCGAUGAUACGCGAGGAACCUUACCCGGGCUUAAAUUGCAUUUGAAUAUAUUGGAAACAGUAUAGCCGUAAGGCAAAUGUGAAGGUGCUGCAUGGUUGUCGUCAGCUCGUGCCGUGAGGUGUCGGCUUAAGUGCCAUAACGAGCGCAACCCUUAUCUUUAGUUACUAACAGGUCAUGCUGAGGACUCUAGAGAGACUGCCGUCGUAAGAUGUGAGGAAGGUGGGGAUGACGUCAAAUCAGCACGGCCCUUACGUCCGGGGCUACACACGUGUUACAAUGGGGGGUACAGAAGGCAGCUACCUGGUGACAGGAUGCUAAUCCCAAAAGCCUCUCUCAGUUCGGAUCGAAGUCUGCAACCCGACUUCGUGAAGCUGGAUUCGCUAGUAAUCGCGCAUCAGCCAUGGCGCGGUGAAUACGUUCCCGGGCCU
rnacentral:rRNA from 1 species